rnacentral:tRNA from 1 species
GGUCCGAUGGUGUAGUUGGUUAUCACGUCAGUCUAACACACUGAAGGUCUCCGGUUCGAGCCCGGGUCAGAUCA